rnacentral:piRNA from 1 species
UGCUUAAGGUUGUAUCAAGGUUAGUC